CGCUAUUGACUGGCGGGCUUUAAAUUUAGAGAAUCGUUUAAAUCCCAAAAACCCGUUAACUUUCACUUACUAUAACAUUCAGCCUAUAUACCGCCGUUUAGGGUUCCUCACUCUCAAACCCCAUUAAUUUAAUCAAAAAUCAGGUCAAGGUGUAGCUAAUAAGUAAGAAAAAGUAAGUUACACUUAAAAACAAUUUAAGGAAGCCAAAAGCCAACCCAAAAGAGAAGUUAUCUGUAUAUACUAAUUAAAAUUUAGCAUUGAACCAGUAAAUAAAGAUGU
rnacentral:rRNA from 1 species